AUACGUAGGUGACAAGCGUUAUCCGGAUUUACUGGGCGUAAAGGGCGUGUAGGCGGUCUUGUAAGUCAGAUGUGAAAUUCCUGAGCUCAACUCGGGCGCUGCAUCUGAAACUGCAGGACUUGAGUGCUGGAGGGGAGAGUGGAAUUCCUAGUGGAGCGGUAAAAUGCGCAGAUAUUAGGAAGAACACCGGUGGCGAAGGCGGCUAUCUGGACAGAAACUGACGCUGAGGCGCGAAAAGGUGGGGAGGAAACAGGAUUAGAUACCCUGGUAGUCCACGGCGGAAACGAAGGAUUCCAGGUGGAGGGGGUAUCUACCCCCUCUGGGCCGCAGUUAACACAAUAAGGAUUCCGCCUGGGGAGGACGGCCGCAAGGAUGAAACUCAAAUGAAUUGACGGGG
rnacentral:rRNA from 1 species